GAUGAACGCUGGCGGCGUGCCUAAUACAUGCAAGUCGAGCGAACAGACGAGGAGCUUGCUCCUCUGACGUUAGCGGCGGACGGGUGAGUAACACGUGGAUAACCUACUUAUAAGACUGGGAUAAUUUCGGGAAACCGGAGCUAAUACUGGAUAAUAUAUUGAACCGCAUGGUUCAAUAGUGAAAGACGGUUUUGCUGUCACAUAUAGAUGGAUCCGCGCCGCAUUAGCUAGUUGGUAAGGUAACGGCUUACCAAGGCGACGAUGCGUAGCCGACCUGAGAGGGUGAUCAGCCACACUGGAACUGAGACACGGUCCAGACUCCUACGGGAGGCAGCAGUAGGGAAUCUUCGGCAAUGGGCGAAAGCCUGACGGAGCAACGCCGCGUGAGUGAUGAAGGUCUUCGGAUCGUAAAACUCUGUUAUUAGGGAAGAACAAAUGUGUAAGUAACUAUGCACGUCUUGACGGUACCUAAUCAGAAAGCCACGGCUAACUACGUG
rnacentral:rRNA from 1 species